UUUUUUUUUUUGGGACCCCUGGGUAUUUGUUGCAAUCAGAAACAUGGUUUGCCAAAUAAAAUUAGCAGCUACCCUAACUGCACGUGGAUAUUGGAACGACAAUAAGUUAUAUGUAUUAUAUUACUUAGUACUCACUGUUAAUACCCCUGUGGGUGUGGAAAUUGUAUCUUCAGCUGCGGACCCUGAGGUUCAGAGAGGGAAAUUAACUUGUCUAGGGUCAUGGCUGGGUUAGUGGUGGCAAGAAAGCGAUCUGAGCUCUCUCCCCACCUGUUCUUAUGUCCAGCAUCUCGGUUGUGAUGCACGGGGAGGGGUUGCACCCUGAAGAUGCCCUAGUUGUGAGGUCAACCUGAUCCAAAAGAACUUAAAGCUGCCCCUGGCCUGAAGGAGGCAGUGAGUAGUGUCCAGAUGUGAAAAUACAAUGAAAAAGCUGAUUCUCGUCUCUUUUGGAAACAGACUGGCCAUUAUCCAUCUUUGUUAUGGGAUCUACAGUCUUCCUGGACCUACUGAAAAUGCAGGUAUAAACAAAUGCAAAUGGUCUGAGGAUGACCCAGUGUUCUGGAUUCUCCACUCCAUGAAACACUUUUAUUACUGCAGGGAGUCACAGCAUCUGCCAAAGUAAAAAUCUGUCACACAAAGAGGAAUAAAUAUCUGACUAAAUGGGUAAAACAAAAUCAAGCAAACAGGACAUGGUCUCACCAGCCACCUGUAGCUCUCCCAACACACAUGAGAGGAGGCUGAGCAUUUUAUCAUCACUAUGAUCAUAAUCAUUUUAUAAUCACAACCGAAACCUACCAAAUGACAACCAGGCUUCCAGGACAGGCUGUGCACACACUGUCUGAGGGAAACGGGGGGACACCCACAAACUCUACAGCAUUAUCCUGCUAAAGUAGGUCAGAGCAAUGAACUUGAGUACUGUGUGAGUAAUCCACUCUGAUAAGAGUCUAACAUGACUUUAAUGGGUAGAAAGGGAAGUUUAACUUCAACUGCAAGUCCCAGCAACCUCCUCUCUGUGAAGACAUGCUUACCAUUGUGUUAUUUCUCUUUCUUAGGCAUAAAAGUGAAAUUCUGACAUUCUGUUUAAAAGAAAAUAAACAUUUGUUAUCACUUCUAUAGAAUAAUUUUACUUCUGCUGUGGUCAUUAAAGUCUACAUGAAUGGAGAGGGUGCAGAGGGGCAGAGAAAAGUGGAGGACAUUUGUAAGGGCCCAGGUGGGCUGUUUGGAAGGUGUGAGGUACGCGAGGGAGGAGCUAGUGAUUAACGCAUGUGGUCAUCACCUGUCCCUUAUUGCAGCCAAAAUCUGGAGCCGGGCACAGGCACCAGCAUGUUCUCUCUGGUUCCACUAACAGCCCUUGCUCAGGCCCCUCCACAGUCAUUUCUAUUCAAUCUGGGCCAUGUCCCUUUUCCUUUUAACAGUAGAGAGGGGCCGGGCGUGGUGGCUCACACCUGUAAUCCCAACACUUUGGGAGGCCAAGGCAGGCGGAUCACUUGAGGUCAAGAGUUCGAGACCAGCCUGGCCAACAUGGUGAAACCUCAUCUCUACUACAAAUACAAAAAUUAGCUGGGCAUGCCUGUAAUCCCAGCUACUCGGGAGGCUGAGGUGGGAAAAUUACUUGAACCUGGGAGGCAGCAGUUGCAGUGAACCAAGAUCAUACCUCUGCACUCCAGCCUGGCCCACAGAGUGAGACUC
ensembl:lncRNA